GACGAACGCUGGCGGCGUGCUUAACACAUGCAAGUCGAACGGAAAGGCCUGCUUUCCCUUGUGGAUUGCGGGUACUCGAGUGGCGAACGGGUGAGUAACACGUGAGUGAUCUGCCCCCAACUUGGGUAUAAGCCUGGGAAACUGGGUCUAAUUCCCGAUAGGACUGCAGGGUGGUGCCUGUGGUGGAAAACGAUUUUCUAGUGGUUGGGGAUGAGCUCGCGGCCUAUCAGCUUGUUGGUGGGGUAAUGGCCUACCAAGGCGGCGACGGGUAGCCGGCCUGAGAGGGUGGACGGCCACAUUGGGACUGAGAUACGGCCCAGACUCCUACGGGAGGCAGCAGUGGGGAAUAUUGCACAAUGGGCGGAAGCCUGAUGCAGCGACGCCGCGUGGGGGAUGACGGCCUUCGGGUUGUAAACUCCUUUCGACCGCGAGGAAGCCACCUGGUUGGAAGGGUGGUGACGGUAGUGGUAGAAGAAGCACCGGCUAACUAUGUG
rnacentral:rRNA from 1 species